GAUGAACGCUGGCGGCGUGCCUAAUACAUGCAAGUCGAGCGAACGGACGAGAAGCUUGCUUCUUUGAUGUUAGCGGCGGACGGGUGAGUAACACGUGGAUAACCCACUUAUAAGACUGGGAUAAUUUCGGGAAACCGUAGAAUAUACCGGAUAAUAUUUUCAACCGCAUGGGUGAAAAGAGAAAGACGGUCUUGCUGUCACUUAUAGAUGGAUCCGAGCUGCAUUAUCUAGUUGUAAGGUAACGGCUUACCAAGGCAACGAUGCAUAGCCGACGUGAGAGGGUGAUCGGCCACACUGGAACUGGGACACGGUCCAGACUCCUACGGGAGGCAGCAGUAGGGAAUCGUCCGCAAAGGGCGAAAGCCUGACGGAGCAACGCCGCGUGAGUGAUGAAGGUCUUCGGAUCGUAAAGCUCUGUUAUUGGGGAAGAACAUAUGUGUAAGUAACUGAGCACAUCUUGACGGUACCUAAUCAGAAAGCCACGGCUAACUACGUG
rnacentral:rRNA from 1 species